GAGAAGAUUUGUGCUCAAGUGUGCUACAUGUUCCUGGUGACUGAGGGAUGCAAUGAUUAAAACAGGAAGCACCGAGUGCUGACUGACUCCAAGAACCAGAUCACUGAGGCUCCCUUGCCAGCUGGCUUCCAGAAGCAUUUAAUAAAUGGGAGAAUCAGGAGAAGAGCCAAGAAAUCAACGGAAGUUGUACAACUUUGGAGCCUAAUUCUUCAGAGGUCUUGUGGCUUCCGCUGUUGCCUUCUGGAGUGCUGUCCUUCCAUGUACUGUGAAGCCUGAUCUAGUUUACCAGGUGAUGUGAGGCCACAUGGAGCACAGAUGAGCCAUUCUGGCUGAGGCCUCCUGCACCUACCAGCUGUCAGUCAGAUCAACCUGUGAACAUGGAAGUGAGGCUAUUUUGGACCAUCUUAGGUUGUCUAGUCUUAGUCAAGUCUCCAGAGGCCUGCAUCUGUAUGAGUGACCCCAGGAGAGACCAGAAGAGGAGCUGUGCAAGAAAACAGUCCAGA